AAAAGUCUAUAAACACAAAGGUUUGGUCCUGACCUUACUAUCAGCUACCACUUAACUUACACAUGCAAGUCUCCGCAUACCCGUGAAAACGCCCUUAUUUCUCCCACAGAACAAGGAGCCGGUAUCAGGCACAGACAUCUUGCCCACAACACCUAGCUAUGCCACUCCCCCAAGGGUACUCAGCAGUGAUUGACAUUGUUUAUAAGCGCCAGCUUGACCCAGUUAAAGUGCACAGAGUUGGCAAACCCGGUGCCAGCCGCCGCGGCUACACCAUCGGACUCAAGUUGAUAGUCUUCGGCGUUAAGCGUGAUUAAAGUGACUUAAUGAUUAGAGUUAAACCAUGGCAAAGCCGUUAUACACUUGCCUCAAGAGACCCAGAACGAAAGUUACCCUAACCAAACCACUUGACUCCACGACAGCUAAGGAACAAACUGGGAUUAGACACCUCACUAUGCUUAGCCGUAAAAUAUUAAAUUACACUAAACCCGCCAGGGAAUUACGAGUUCAACCUUAAAACCCAAAGGACUUGACGGUACUCCAUCCCCCUAGAGGAGCCUGUUCUAUAAUCGAUUCUCCCCGAUUCACCUUACCCCCUCUUGUAUUCUCAGCCUGUAUACCUCCGUCGCAAGCCUACCAUGUGAAUGCCAGCUCGUAGGCCUAAAGAUUACACACCCUAACGUCAGGUCAAGGUGCAGCCCACGAGGCGGAAAGAAAUGGGCUACAAUUUCUACACUAGAACAAACGAAAGACUGUAUGCAACACAGCCUGAAGGCGGAUUUAGCAGUAAAAGGGGAACAGAGUGUCCCUUUUAACCCGGCCCUGGAGCGCGUACACACCGCCCGUCGCCCUCUUCAAACACCCACACAAUGUCAUUGACACUAAAUAACUUUAGAGAAGAGGUAAGUCGUAACAUGGUAAGCGUACUGGAAAGUGUGCUUGGAACA
rnacentral:ncRNA from 1 species